GCUGUCCAUUGAUGAUCUCCAUAUUCCUUGCCAAAACAAAAAAGGGUCGACUUUUGCCAAGAAUCGAUUCCAUGUUUUGUUAUCUUUCUACUACUUUUGCCUAUCGAUUAGCGUUAUGUUUUCAAAAACUAGUGUUCUUUAAAAUAUCGACUUUAGUAACCGGCUUGUGUUUCGGUUACUUCUAUUAUUCGGACAUCGGUAUCAUUGGGUCUGUUCUUCGCGCGCCAGACUAUUUACAGCGAGGCGAGCAUCGAUCGAUGCGAAGUGAUCAAUCUGAUGCCGAGGGACAGAGAGAUGCCAAUGUCAGAUGAAGUCUACCCCUCCAAAAGUAGAUGCAUGAUGGGCAUGCUGCCCAGUGUCAAAGUACAACGAUGUCUUCCCAAACAAAAGUGAAGGUUGUCAUCUCCACAGAGAUCUACUCAUCACCCAAGAAGAUGUCUGACACCUGCAGUUGAUGAGCUUCCUAACAAUGCGCAACGAUAAAUGAACUGCUCUCUCCUUGAUAAAAAAGCUACAGACAGAUGCCGUUGGCGGAUGAAGUCUACCUCUUGAAAAGUAGAUACAUGAUGUCCAUGCUGCCCUGCGUGUCAAAGUACAACAAUGUCUUCCCAAACAAAAGCGAGGGUUGUCAUCUCCACCAAGAUCUACUCAUCAACCAAGAAGAUGUCUGAGACCUGCAGUUGAUGAGCUUCCUAACAAUGUACGAGUCUGAUAAAUAAACUGCUCUCUCCUUGAUAAAAGCUACAGACAGAGGCCAUUGUCAGAUGAAGUCUACCUCCCCAAAAGUAGAUGCAUGAUGUCAAUGCUACCUAGUGUCAAAGCACAGUAAAGUCUUCUCCAUCAACAGCGAGGGUAGUCAUCUCCACAGAGAUUUACUCAUCAACCAAGUAGAUGUCAGAGACCUGCAGUGGAUGAGCUUCCUAACCAUUUACAUUGAAUCAGAUGGUGUCUACCUGUUACACAUUUCUGAGACCUGCAACUGCGUAUAGUCAGCCCACUGUCUACACAUCACCAGUUAAGAUGUGUGAGGGUUACGCAAGAGGAAGGUAAAAUACCUGUGGUUGUUUUACACUAACAUCAAAGGGUGGUCUGUUUUUGCAGCACUCAUACCAACAGAAUAUCUCGUCACAUACCACAACAUUUUUGGGGAUGAAAUGCUGGCACCAGCCUAACCCGAAAUGAGAGGUCUGUCCCUACAGAUUGAGAACAGAUUUAAAAGAUAGGAAACAUGUUUUUGAUUAACAAAACCCCUUUAACUGUACAAAAAUACAAUUUUAAAUAUGUAAACAGUUUUUUCGUACAAACCAUAUUUCUUCUCAAGUUAAACCAUAAACUAGGAAUGAAAUUAUUUUGCAUUGUAUGAUGAUAAGUAAAAGAUCUGGAAUGUGCUGAAGACCAUGCCUGACCUAAAACAAAUUUACACAAAUUUAGUUCAGGCAAAUCAGUUGCAAUUUGUUUAAGGUACACUUUGGCAAAAUUGAUCUGAAAAUUAAAAUGAUGAAUAAAUGGAGUCAUCAUUACUGAAUCACCAUAUUUUAAUGACAAGGGAAAUUAAACGCCCCUAGUUAGGGCUAGUUCAUAUACUAAUAAUAAUAAAUAGUAAUAAUAGCAAAUAUUAUAAUAGUGGCAAUUUAUAAUGUGCCAUGUCUGUCUGAAAGACACUCCUGGCGCAGGAGAGAUGCAGAAGCAAGAUUGCAAUGAGUUACAUAGUUAAGCAUAAAUAGAAGUUUUUGACUUCCUUUUUUGUGUCCCGUUACAUCUUGGGACACCUCAAUGUUUCCAUUUCACAGCAUAAAAAAAGCUGAUAUCCUAAAACUUAGAGAGUAGCAAAUAGCUCUCAUUACAAUACUGAAAGCUUCAGAGUUUGAGAGAAAAAGUAGUAUUAUUAAAACCUCAAGGUCUUUGAGGCAUUAUAUAUAUAUGAAGGAAUCCUAAAUGAGCAACCAGCUUGUUGAUUUCAUUUGUAAGUAGACAUGUUAAUUAGCUAAUGUCGGAGGUAGAUGUAAUAUAACAUUCAAGUAAAUGUUCUUGUAAAAAGUAAGUGUACCAUUUGCAAGCAAGCACACAAUGUGUGUAUUUUGAACUCACAAAGUUGGAGAAAAAUGUACUAUUUCUUGGGGUGGAAUACUUCUUGAGAGAGUGGCUUUAAGAUUUCAGAAAAAUAGUGGGUUUUGUAUAGACUUUUGUUACCAGGAGGAAAAAACCUUAUCUAAAAAUUAGAUUUCUUGCAAGGUACACUUAUUUUACUCCACAACUUAAAGCUUUACAAAAUUGUUAAGUAAACUCAUAGGUCAAUAAUUAUAAGUAGCCAUAGUCUUUGCUCUUAAUGUUGUUGACUUAAAGACACUGGACACUCGUGGUAAUUACUCAACAUAAUUGUUAGAAUAAAAACUUACUUGGU